UACGUAGGGUGCAAGCGUAUCCGGAAUUAUUGGGCGUAAAGAGCUCGUAGGCGGUCUGUCGCGUCUGCUGUGAAAACUCAGGGCUUAACCCUGAGCUUGCAGUGGGUACGGGCAGACUAGAGUGCGGUAGGGGAGACUGGAAUUCCGUGGUGUAGCGGUGAAAUGCGCAGAUAUCAGGAGGAACACCCGUGGCGGAAGGCGGCUCUCUGGGACGGUAC
rnacentral:rRNA from 1 species